CCUCGUCANUGGCGCAGAUAACNCAUUAAGCAUCCCGCUUGGGGAGUACGGUCCNCACAAUAAAACCUNAAAGGAAUGGAGCGGGGGCCCGCNACAAGCGGUGGAGCAUGUGGUUCAAUUCGAAGACAACGCGCAGAACCUUACCCAACCUUUGACAUGUCCCCGUAUGAGUAGACAGAGANGGAACUCUUCAGUUCGGCUGGCGGGAACACCAGGUGCUGCAUGNCUNNUCGUCAGACUCGUGUCGUGAGAUGUUGGGUUAAGUCCCCGCCAACGAGCGCAACCCUCGCCCUUAGUUGCCAUCAUUUAGUUGGGCACUCCUAAGGGGACUGCCGGUGAUAAGCCGACGAGGAAGGUGGGGAUGACGUCAAGUCCUCAUGGCCCUUACAGGUUGGGNUACACACGUGCUACAAUGGCGGUGACCAGAGGGACGCAAAGGAGCAAUCCUUCGCAAAUCUCAAAAAGCCGUCUCAGUUCGGAUUGGAGUCUGCAACUCGACUCCAUGAAGUUGGAAUCGCUAGUAAUCGCAGAUCAGCACGCUGCGGUGAAUACGUUCCCGGGCCUUGUACACACCGCCCGUCACACCAUGGGAGUUGGCUUUACCUGAAGACGGUGCGCUAACCGCCAAGGAGGCAGCCGGCCACGGUAGGGUCAGCGACUGGGGUGAAGUCGUAACAAGGUAUC
rnacentral:rRNA from 1 species